AAUGAACGCUGGCGGCAGGCCUAACACAUGCAAGUCGAACGGACCCUUCGGGGUUAGUGGCGGACGGGUGAGUAACGCGUGGGAACGUGCCCUUUGGUUCGGAAUAGCCUCGGGAAACUGGGAGUAAUACCGGAUAAGCCCUACGGGGGAAAGAUUUAUCGCCAAAGGAUCGGCCCGCGUUGAAUUAGCUAGUUGGUGGGGUAAAGGCCUACCAAGGCGACGAUCCAUAGCUGUUCUGAGAGGAAGAUCAGCCACACUGGGACUGAGACACGGCCCAGACUCCUACGGGAGGCAGCAGUAGGGAAUCUUGGACAAUGGGCGCAAGCCUGAUCCAGCCAUGCCGCGUGAGUGAUGAAGGCCUUAGGGUUGUAAAACUCUUUCGCAGGUGACGAUAAUGACGGUAACCUGAGAAGAAGCCCCGGCUAACUUCGUGCCAGCCGCCGCGGUAA
rnacentral:rRNA from 1 species